AUAUAUAUAUCUUUAAAAAUCUAAACAGAAGCUAUAUUCUGAGAUUUUUCACAAUAUAUUUUGAAUUGGUGAAAAAAUGAGCAAAGGAUGUGAUAUCUUCAAGUUUCAAAUCUGGUCCAUGUGAUGCCAGCAUCUAGUGAUGAGAUGAUUUAUAUGCAUUUAUUUACUUACAUUACAAAAGACUUACAUUGUCUUUCCUCCAUUAUAAUUAUAAGUUCCUUAAAGAUAGAAACUAGGGCUAAAAGACAAAAAGGAUGUCACUUUUCUUCUUGAAUUUACAUACCAAUGGCAUGAUGAAACAAAUAUGAGAAUAAGGAGAGAAAGAUCCACAAUGUGGUAGCAAGAGAAAGUAGAAGUAUGGUAUAUUAGAUAGAGCCCUUGAUUUUAUUCUAAUCAAAAAGACUUGAAAGUUCAGCUAGUGCCAUUGAAACUUACUAGCUCUGACUCUGGGUGAGUCACUUAACUUUUCAGUGCCUUAGUUUCCUCAUCUCUAAAUUGGGCAUAAUUAUAACACCUAUUAAAUGGAAGUUGGUGUGAGAGUAAAACAAGGUAUUGCUUAUCUACAAUGUACUUUAAAAACCUUAAAAUACUGCAUUGAUAUGAGUUCUUAUAAAAAUCUCUGAACUUGGAUUCAGUAUUGGUCAAGUCACUCUGGGCCUCUCUUUUCCAAUGGAAAAUUGGACUAGUAAUCCCUGCCCUGUAGAUCUCACAGAAAUGGAUAAGGAUUAAACAAGAUAAUAGAUGUUGAGUGUUGUGUAAUCAUGAAAUAUUAUUUUUGCUAUUGUUAAUAUUUGUAAUCACACAAAACAAGUUAGAUAAAAGAUAUCGUGCACAUUUUAUAGUUAAGGAAAUUAAAAUACAAGUAUAUUAAGGGUUUUCCUCAUGGUAACAGAGUUCCUUUAUGGCUUACAGCUAGAAAGCAGAUUUUCUACCUGUUAAUCCAAUGCUCUCUUCAUUGGGGCACAUGCAAUAGGCAUUCGAGAACAUUAAUUUAUUAAGGAAUUAAUUAAGGAUUUUUUAUCCAAAAUAGUAUUCAAGAAAUUUCCCAAGUUCCUCACUCUGUAUUAUUGGAUAGGGCAUAUGUGGGGGCCAAUUGUAAUCAAUAAACAUUGAAUGAAUAUGUCAGGAAUAUAUAGGCAGGUGUUGGGCUCUGGAGACUUGAAGAAAUCGGAGAUGUCCUCUGCCCUUUAAGGUUCUUAUAUCUGUCCAAGAAGUAGGUUGGACACAGUCAUAUAAAGAUAAAUGGCAAAGAAUGGAAACUUACAGUUAUCUAAUGGUUCAGAGGAGUGCAUUCUUCAGCCAUUUAUAGUGCUGGAGAUACACGAGACUUUUUGUAGGGAAGCCUGCCCCAAGGUAUAUCAUUCUGAACUUUUAACGUACACACAUGCAAAAUAAAUACAACAAAACACAUUGAAUUUACAUAGGAAAAAAACUAUUACUUUGAUCAAAUUUGGGAGUAAUGGCUUUUACAUGAAUCUUGAGGGCUUCAUGUCUUGUAGCAAGUGAAAUACAUUUAGUUAAUGGUAGACAUAAGUAAUGGCAAUCUGGAGGAGGGUUGUGUCUAUGACAAAGCUUAUGACAUUUACAUAAUAGGAUGAUUAUUGACUCUAAGUUAAUGAGGACCAAAUGACUGAAUAAUAAAAUAUCACCCAGAUUAAGCAUACCCUUAAAAUCAAAGUGAAGCUAUUCAUUUAACCUCCUACAAUGCUUUUAGUAAAUUAUAGGUGUUGCCUAGGAAUGUAAAGCAUACCUUUCACUACAAAAAUUGAACAUCUGAGAGCCCUGAGCAGAAUAAGCUGAAUGGGCAAUUUAGACCUUUUCUAAAAAAAAAUAUCAAGUAGAAAGAUGAGUCAGAAUAUUAAUGUGAGCUUUUUCUUUCAUUCAUUCAUUCAUUCAUUCAUUCAUUCAUUCAUUCUUUUUUUUACACUUUCAAGAUAGAAAUGCUAUGUGUCAUCCUUGAAAUGAGUUAGAUGAUGCCAAGAUCUUUUCUCCUGUUCCAUAUUUGCCUCUAAAGAGUGGAACUGGAGAUGGCUAUGUAGAUGUGUCUGUCUAAGGCAUGAAGGAGGGGAAUCAGGGUAUAUCAAAUGGUGAAAGACUUAGGGACCUGCAUUUGAAUCCUAUUUUUGACAUUGACAGGUUCUGUAGAUGUACCCAAGUGACUUGGCCCCUGAGAGCCUUAUUUCCCGCAUCUAUAAAAUGGAAAUGCCUCUAAUUCUUAUCUUAAUGGAUCAUCUAGAGGCAGCUUGACUGAUAAAGAGCUGGAACUGGUAUCAGCAGAAAGACCUGAAUUAAAAUCCUAUAGUAUUUAAUUAAAUAGCUGCAUGAAGCUGGGAAAACCACUUAGCUUCUUACUACCUCAGUUUCCUCAUAUGUAAAAUGUAAAAUAAUAAUAGUACCUACUUCUAAGGGUUGUUGGGAGGCUAAAGUGAGAAAACAUUUUGCAAACCUUAAAACACUAUAAAUGGUACCUAUUAUUAUUAUUUCACUGGAUUGUUGUGAAAAUCAGGUUAUACAAUGUACAUGAAUUUCUUUGCAAACUUUAAAUUGGCAUAUUAAUGUCAUCUAUGAUUCUUACCCAGGAGAGGCUCAAACAAGUUUUGUAGAAGUUUUCUUUUCAACAUUAUAUCUAUAGCAAUUCAAGGCCCAAACCACAUAGUUUCUUAAAUUUGGAAGUCCUAAAACAAGCCUAUUUUUGAGAUUAUAAAAGAGAAAAGAGGGAAUUCAUCAAUGUACAAAUAUUUCUGCCAAGUCCCUAAGAUAAAUACAAGUAAAAAUUAUAUAUGUCUGUUUUAGGAAUGCUCUAAAAUUCUUUCUCUGACCCUGACACCUCCAGCCUGAUUCUAUGCCAUGCCACCAGAGACAAGAAAUAUUACACAAAAAACUUUUAAAUUAUUUGAUAACAGAUUAUUCUAAAAAGUACUAAUCAAUCUACUAUUUUUCUAUAAAAGAAUGAGAAAUGGACAGCUGUUUUGGUCAAUUUGGGAUUGUAUAUUUACGUCUGAAGGCUUGGAACAGGUUUUGACAUUCCUUUCCCAUAGGAAACCUCACAUGUAUUUGACCUUUGGAUUUAAACCAAAACUAGUUAUUCCUCCUCUGUAGCUUUGUAGCAAUCAUAUUCCCAACCCAUUUUUGACAUACUGGUCAUCUUUUCUUUCCUAGCAUCAUCACAUAGCUCUUGGGCAUAAAGUUAGAUGAAGCAUAAGAAUUAAAAAGUCCACGGUAAAGGGAAAUUCUCUCCUCAUUAAAAUGAAGUCUCUGGAUGAGAAUGUGAUUAAGGCAGCAGAAAUUGCAAAGUUGGGGGUGAAUGAAUGUAAGAUGAGGGACAAGAAUUUACUUUCUCCUUGAUUGUCAUACAGUGACACUUAAGGAAAAAUAGAGUCAAGAUUCAGUUUUCCAAAAGUUGGAAGCUACAUAAAUGAGAAGCAGAGCUGUUCAGUUGUCAAAAAGUUUAUUGAUAGUUAAUUGAAUGUGCUUCUUCUGUGGUAGGCCUUGUACAAAGGGAAUUCUGUAGACCAAGGUCCUUACCUUUAGGAUCUUAUAAAAAGAUUGGAAGUUAAGAGGGGUAUAUGCUCGCCAAAUUAUAGCAGAAGUCCUUUAAAUAAGGCUAUAAGUCAGGAGAAAUCCUUCAUAAUGGGAAAGAAUAAUUAUAUUUCCUUUAAAAAGUCAAUAAAGCAAAAUGGAGCUAAUACCAAUAUCUGACAAAAUCUUCCAGAAAUAUAUUUGAGCAGUCAGAAUAAUCUUUGCCUUCCAAACUCUCACUGCUUUUCUGCUGUCUUUGUCUUCAGUGUCCUCCCUCACCUCAAAAUGCUGAUUCCUACUUACCUAUUAAAUCCCAAGUCAAAUGUUACCUCUUCCUUGGAGUUUUCCUUACUUCUCACCUGUCUUAUUAUUUGCCACCUUGUACUCCACUGACAUCCUGGUAUGUUAUAGAAUAUAUUAGCCAAUUACCUAUGCUAAUCAAACAAGAUAUACAUUUUUCCUUGUAUCAGAUCCUAUCAGUUUUGACAAGACUAUUCAAUCAAGGUAAUUUCCAGUUGCCUUCUGGAAAUCUGGCCAAAAUAUAUCCAUUGAUAGGAAUUUGGCUUUGACAAGAGUUACAAAUUGCAGUUCCUCUCCCACUUCAACACCCUGGGAUUUGGCCAAUUAACAUGAUUACUACAUCUUUAUUCUAAAAAUAGUAUGACAUUUCAUGAGCUCCUUAUCAAGAAAAAAAUUGAUAAUCAUUUUUCUCUCCUCCUCCCACUUUAUAGAUAGAAAAAUUGAGGUGUUAGCUGUUUAUCUAACCCAGUAGAGUAGUUGGGGAAGUCAAGAAUAGGUCCUGGGAAAAAUCCCUGUCUGAUCUUGUAACCUGUUCUUGGCAGCUUUAUGGUCAUUUCCAAAUCCCAGCCAUAAAAUCCAUUUUCCUGAGAUAAGAGAGGCUAUUUCUAUACAACUUUUUCUAUUCAAAGACUUUGUGAAGUUAUUGGUUCUUAUCUUUUAAAAUGUCUUCAAUUUCUCCCCCUUUUAGUAAAAUCUGAGUGUUUUAAAAACAUUUCCGGAGUGAAUGAUAAAGUUGAGAAUAGCAGUGGGUGAGAGUCUCCUCACCAUACCAUCUGGACUUAGUCCCACCAAAAGUUUGCUUCCAGCAUUGCCCCCAGAAACUCAAGACUCUUUGAAAUGUGAUGAUCCCUGCCUGAUGAGCACUUACUGCUCUGAGACUUCUUCCCUUCAGGAUUAGGUUUUGGUAUGGAAGAAAAGCAGGCAGUGUCUUCUAAGGAAUUUUGAUGGACAAAAUCAUCACAUCACAUAGCCUUUUGGGUACAAGACUUGGUGGAGAACCAAACAUGGUUACAUGAAAUCUGGCCAAAUCUAGUUUUCAAAAAUCCAUCCUAGGGCUGGUGAGUAACAACAGCUGUUAGAUACUCUGUUGAGCAAACCAAAGUUAGAGAAGCAGGGUCCAUCAGAGGCAACCUUGAACCCAGGUCCUCUGACAACAAGAUCAUUGAUUCUCUCAACACGUUGUCUCCAUCUGCAACCCUGAUUUGUGAAGUAUCAAAUAUCUGUGUUUUCUGUCUCUGGAGUCACCACAUUUUCCAUGGUGUUAUACUGCUUCUUUAGAACUAGGGUCAUAUUGGCAAUAUAGCCAGUGAGGGCUUUUCUAAGAGUAGGGAAUGAAGAGGUCACUUUUCUAAACUUCAUCUUCACCUUCACUCCAAUGCUUUACUCCCUUAAUAUUUUCUUGGGUCCUUACCCCAUUUCUGACUUCACUUUCUUCCUUUUCUAGUCAACUCAGUAGCUAUUUCACCCUUGCUCAACUGGUCAUCUCUUCCCAAAGCUGAACCAUGUGUUUCUCUUACCCCCUACCUUCUCCAUUACAACUUUCAAACAAAUGAACAAAUUUUAUCUUCCAUCUCAGAAUUAAUACUGUGUAUUGCUUCCAAGGCAGAAGAGUGAGAAGGACUAGUUAUUGGGAGGUGAGUGACAUUCCUAGGAGCACACAGAUAGGAAGUUUCUGAGAUCAGAUUUGAAGCCAGGGCCCCCCAUCUCUAAGACUGGCUCUCAAUCCAUGGAACCCACCUAUAUGAUCCCUUCAUUAAUACUUGAUCAAGAUAGGAUGAAGGAAGUAGGGGAAAUCUCACAUCUCUGCUGACAAGAUACAUUACAAAUUCAUAUUACCUAUCCUCAUUCGAGUAGGUAUUCUUUCAGUAAUGCAGUCUUUCCCUAAUUAACUGGCUGUUCCAUACUCUAGAGAAGCCUUUCCCAACUCUGUCCCUCCUAAAGUCUCCCAGACCCACCACUACGCCCCACCAAGUGUCUUACCUCUUGUAUUGCUGAGAAGACAAGCCUUUUCCUUAUGACUCAAGUCACAAAUGGUAGCUCUGGAGUCAAAAAACAGGGAGUCUAACUCUGUCCCAUAAGGAAGGAGAAAACCAAAGAAAUGUAUUUUUUCUCUCCUUUUUUUUACCUUGACCUUUUCUUUUACUAAUUAGUAAAAUUCUCUAUAUCUAUAGUUUGCAAAGCCUCAAUUAUUCCUAAUGUUUCUUUUUAUGCAUGGACUGAGAUGUACAGAAAAGACACUUCAUCUAUUCAAUUGAAUAAAAUUUUAUUCAAUGCAAAUGAAUUCAUUCAGUAGGCAUUCUUUAAGCACAGAUUGUAAGAAAAAGACUAGCCUAAGGAUAGAAAGACAAAGUAGAUAUGAUCUCUCUUUAAGGAGCUCACAUUCUUCCUGGGGAAGAUAGACCAGGUCUGAAACCUAAAACCUGGCCAUGGAAAGACCACCAUGGGAGCUGAGAUCAGGCAGUCUGGGAAAGAUGAGAUGAUGAGCGAUUGAGUUCAUCAGAGAAGUCUUUCCAUGUUCCUAUGGCGUUUACAUCAAUAGGAUGUUCUAUCUCAGAAACUGCACACUCAAGUGAUGUCGCAUUAAACAACAAAAUAAGGGGCAAAUGGGAUUAUAUUGGCAUGAGGGCAGGAGAAGGAGAGUUGGCAUAGUUUGCAAUUGUGGUACAAAAAUGGGGAUCCAUUGGUCUUGUCCCACAUCAAGGUCCCUGGCUUUGAACUUUACCUUCCUGAGGUAAAGGAGUGGUAGCCCCGAAUAGUAAUAAUGCCAGCCUGUGUGCUCGAGCCUCAAACACACACACACACACACACACACACACACACACACACACACACACACAACUUCUUAGGACUGGUGGAAAGUGAUUUGUGAUUUACCUCACCAUCAGCUGCACAGCUGUUCCAGAAACAGUAAUAUGGAACUUCUGGCAUGUGCAAAGGGUUUAAAGGUUGUAGACCAGCUGUUAUACAGUAGAAUAUCCCUGCAGAGCUAAUGAAGAGCAUAUGUCCAAGCUAACACAUUGCAGUGUGUUUCAGCAGAAGUCCUCGACCUAGCCAUUUCUAUACAGUUUACCCUAAUAUCUAAUCUAGGGUAGUAACCUUAAGGAACUAUGAGUGACAAAAGGACGCCAGGGUGAAUCAACAGGUGUCUUUUUCUGGAUGACAUUAAAUCAAUUAUCCAUGCAGAUUGGCCCAGGCACAGUGGACCAGAAUCUGCAAGCCUAGUUUAACAGAAACAGCUGGAGGAAGGAUGAAUUUAUAAUCAUCUCUGAGAACAGACUCUAGAGAAGCUGAGUUCUUAAUAUUUUGUGGAAUGGACCCAUUUGGAAGUCUUGUGAAGUCUAUGGACUUAUUCUCAAAAUAAUAAUUUUAAAUAAAAUAAAAUGCACAACAUUAAAAAGGAAACCAAUUAUAUUGAAAUGCCAUUGGCAAAAUGUUUUUGCUUUUAAGUUCACAAACCCCAGGAAUAGAAUUCCUGCCUUGGAGCAAUGGUAAGACAUUUUAUCAAGUCACUAAUACUGCCAAACCAGAUGUAAAGGGAGGGUGGCAUUUGUCAUUACUGUUAGAUUCUUUCCCUGAAAUUUUGUUAAAGGCUAAAAUGAAUGCUGGCACAAAUGAGAGAUAGGAAGCCCAAUAGCAAAAACCAAGAAUGCAUAAGGGAUGCUGAAUAUUUAGUGUAAAAUCAAAAAUAUGGUAGAGAAUUGUAAUGAGGAACCAAAGAGCUAAAUUUACUGUUGAAAGUGGCAGUAAUUGAUUACAUGGUUGACUUGUUGUCCUUUAAUUCAGCCAGUCUGGUGGAAUUAAACUGGAGGCAACCACAUUUUCAUUCUUUGUCUGACCAUUGCCUUGUGUCCAUGGCACGUGCCAUAAACCUCAUCUGGCAGAAGGGAGCUGUUUCUUGGCAUCUUCCUUUGAGCAUUUCUAGUUUUAAACAGAGGUUUGGUCUCUGGCUGCUGUCCAAAAUGCCAUCAGCCAGGCAGCUGCUUGCUGAUGGCACAUCCCCCUCUUUUUGAGAUAUUUACAUAAAUAAGCAUACUGAAAAGAAGAGAAGCAGUGACAAGGCUUGAAAUGACCUUGUAUUUCAUCAAUCAGAGGAUUUGGAGAUGGGAAGUAUUUUAGCAGUGAUCCAAUCUAAAUCUCUCCUCUCCAUUUUGUAGAUGAGGAAAACAAGAUCCUCAGAUUUCCCAGGUAGUAAGUAUCUGAGGCCAGAUUUGAAAACAUAAACCCAGGACCCAGCACUCUAUCCAUUGUGCCAUCUAGCUGCCCUAUUUUGUUAAAUUGAUUUAAAAAAAAAGCCUCACAAGUUAUCGUUCAAGACUGGCAAUCCCCAUCUGCUUUCCUUUGAAGUUUUUUGAUGCUUUUGAAUUGGCAGUAGGGGAGGGACUUUUUCCAGCCUUGAUGUCCUUCUUUUGUAGGACAUCUUUCUCUUCAAAUUUGGGGAAAGAUGGGAAGGCUGUUUUUAUUUUCCUUUGGACACUUACCUGGGUGAUCUUGGAUAAGCAAUUUAAUCUCAUUGGUUAUAUCAAACAAAUACUGGGAAUAGAGAGCUUCUGAGUUCUCUUCCAGUAUGAUUCUAUGAUCUUAUGAAGUCCUCUGUGACAACAAUAAUUAUCAAUUCAGUUUCAGGUUAAAGUAUCUUUCCUUCAACUAUUAAGACACAGUCUUUGUCUCUGACACUCUCUCUCUCCCCCGCCCCUCCCUCUCUCUCUCUCUCUCUCUCUCUCUCUCUCUCUCUCUCUCUCUCUCUC